GGGAAUAUUGGACAAUGGGGGCAACCCUGAUCCAGCCAUGCCGCGUGAGUGAUGAAGGCCUUCGGGUUGUAAAGCUCUUUUGGCGGGGACGAUGAUGACGGUACCCGCAGAAUAAGCCCCGGCUAACUUCGUGCCAGCAGCCGCGGUAAGACGAAGGGGGCAAGCGUUGUUCGGAAUUACUGGGCGUAAAGCGAGUGUAGGUGGUUGUCAUAGUCAGGUGUGAAAGCCUUGAGCUCAACUCAAGAAAUGCACUUGAUACUGGGCGACUAGAGGACCGGAGAGGAUAGUGGAAUUCCCAGUGUAGUGGUGAAAUACGUAGAGAUUGGGAAGAACACCAGUGGCGAAGGCGGCUAUCUGGACGGUUUCUGACACUAAGACUCGAAAGCGUGGGGAGCAAACA
rnacentral:rRNA from 1 species